rnacentral:tRNA from 1 species
UCCCUGGUGGCUCAAAUGGUAGAGCGUCUGCCUGCAGUGUGGGAGACCUAGGUUUGAUCCCUGGGUAGGGAA